rnacentral:lncRNA from 1 species
CUCUCUCUUUCUCUCUCUCCCUCUAGUUACCUAAACAAGAAUAAAUACCUGACAGUUAUUGACAAAGAUGCAUUUGGAGGAGUAUACAGUGGACCAAGCUUGCUGCUACCUCUUGGAAGAAAGUCCUUGUCCUUUGAGACUCAGAAGGCCCCACGCUCCAGUAUGCCAUCAUGAUGCCUGCUAAGGCAGCCACCUUGGUGUACAUGCUCACAGAGGCUCUGUUCAUGGAGCAGCUGCUGUUUGAAAAAUUUUGAAAUGCAAGAUCCACAACUAGAUGGAAGGCACUCUAGUCUUUGCAGAAAAAAAUGUACCUGAAUGUACAUUGCACAAUGC